rnacentral:rRNA from 1 species
UACAGAGGUCUCAAGCGUUGUUCGGAUUUAUUGGGCGUAAAGGGUGCGUAGGCGGCGCGGUAAGUCGGGUGUGAAAUCUUGGAGCUUAACUCCGAAACUGCAUUCGAUACUGCCGUGCUUGAGGACUGGAGAGGAGACUGGAAUUUACGGUGUAGCGGUGAAAUGCGUAGAUAUCGUAAGGAAGACCAGUGGCGAAGGCGGGUCUCUGGACAGUUCCUGACGCUGAGACGCGAAAGCGUGGGGAGCGAACCGG